UACGGGGGGGGCAAGCGUUGUUCGGAAUUACUGGGCGUAAAGCGUGCGCAGGCGGCUUUGCAAGACAGAUGUGAAAUCCCCGGGCUUAACCUGGGAACUGCAUUUGUGACUGCAUGGCUGGAGUGCGGCAGAGGGGGAUGGAAUUCCGCGUGUAGCAGUGAAAUGCGUAGAGAUCAUGAGGAAGACCAGUGGCGAAGGCGGGUCUCUGGACAGUUCCUGACACUGAGACACGAAGGCCAGGGGAGCAAACGGG
rnacentral:rRNA from 1 species